rnacentral:rRNA from 1 species
GACGAACGCUGGCGGCGUGCUUAACACAUGCAAGUCGAACGGAAAGGCCAUGCGUUUGUGGGGUGCUCGAGUGGCGAACGGGGGAGUAACACGUGAGGAACCUGUCCCUGUCUUUGGGAUAACUUCAGGGAACUGGGGCGAAUACCGGAGAGGAGCUCUUGCUGCAUGGUGGGGGUUGGAAAGUUUCGGCGGUUGGGGAUGGAAUCGCGGCUUAUCAGCUUGUUGGUGGGGUAGUGGCUUACCAAGGCUUUGACGGGUAGCCGGCCUGAGAGGGUGGCCGGCCACAUUGCGACUGCGAUACGGCCCAGACUCCUACGGGACGCAGCGGUGGGGAAUAUUGCACAAUAAGCGGACGCCUGAUGCGGCAACGCCGCGUGCGGGAUGACGGCCUUCGAGUUGUAAACCGCUUUCGCCUGUGACGAAGCGUGCGUGACGGUAAUGGGUCAAGAAGCACCGGCUAACUACGUG